rnacentral:lncRNA from 1 species
UCAGCCCACUCAGGGUGGCUAUGGUCACCCCCAGCCCUACUGUGUCUGUGUGCAGGCUGGUGGAAAUUACCCAGAAGCUGGAUAUGCUUAAAGAGGAGCCUGGGAUCAUCAAUCGGAUGCCAGACUGUCCUGGAGUGCAGAACGCGCCCCACAGAGGUGGGCACUCUGUCCUUCUGAGUGGGACUCGGGGAACUUAGCCACUGCAGAGAACUGGUAACCAGCGCGUGUGUUGUCUCCUCAGGUCCCCUGAGCCAGAAGGGCUCCUUUGGCCCGUCCCCUGUGAGUGGCGGUGAAUGCUCCCCGCCCCCAGGCGCACAGCCCCCUGGAUGGCCGCCCUCUGCAAGCCUGAACUUGGCACGCCAUGACAUUGCAAGAGCCGACUUCGAUCCCGGCCCUGGCCCCGUGGCCAACAGCAGCUCCCGCGGCUCCUCUCCAGUGAAGGACAUGGACAACGCCAAGGUGAGCCUGGAGCCCGUGCCUUGGCCCACGCUGCUCCAUGGGCCCUCCGUUUCCCCUCUGUUCUCCAGCUGGCCUGGGCGUGGCGACCCUGCUGA